GGACCGUGGUUGGGAAUGCCUGGCCUAGGAGAUUUGUAUAGACAUAUACUGCGGACCUCCCAAUACAUUCGCAUUCCAUUUAUCAGCAGUGUCUUAAUUUGAAAAUAUUGCACCUCUAUGAGCACUUACUGGUAGAAGGGAUGAGGUAGAGGCUCCACGGUUAUGAUGGACAAUAAACCACGCUCUCCUGUACUCAGCGACUGGCCUUCCCAUGACGAUUCAUCACCAAUAUCUUUCACAUAAACCACAUCAUUGACGGACACAGCUAGGAAUUCUGGUUUCCCUUCAUCCGCUUGUGCACCAGCAUCAUGUACCACGGCUCUUGCAUAGAAGCACCCUACAAGAUUUACAGACAUUACAGGCUGUGCUGCAACAUGACACAUGGGUGAAGUCCUAUGGUUCUUUGUUUCAUAUAUGCUUGGAAUUAUUAAUAAGAACCUGAUUAAACGCAAUUUUACGCUUAA